CGCGUAGGCGGCUUAGCAAGUCAGAUGUGAAAGCCCCGGGCUUAACUCGGGAAUUGCAUCUGAAACUGCUUUGCUUGAGUCCUGGAGGGGAUAGUGGAAUUCCCAGUGUAGCGGUGAAAUGCGUAGAUAUUGGGAGGAACACCUGCGGCGAAGGCGGCUAUCUGGACAGUGACUGACGCUGAGGCGCGAAAGCUAGGGGGAGCGAACGG
rnacentral:rRNA from 1 species